AGUUCUACCUGCUUGCAAUCAAAAUGAUCAACUCAUAGAGGUAUUGAGGUCAAGUUAAACACAACAAAAAGGAGACUCAGAAGUGUCCAUAUUCAGAUCACAUUAUCCAAAUGUUCUUUAUCCUCAAUUGCAUCUUCGAAUUGAGCAUCAUUAAUGCCUAGAAUCAGAAACCUCAAGAGGCAGCCUGCACUAGAUGGGGAUUCUGCUCCCAAGUCACUGGAUAGUGUCAGAUUGGUGCACGCAGAGAGCGUCUGCGAAGCCGGCAGCAUAGGACACUGUGUGAGGCAGAGUGGUGCCUCCUGGGCUCUUGGUACCUGCUUCAGGAGCUCACGGACACGACACUUUGCUCUCUAUAAUCACCUAAGCAGUCUCCUCUUGGGAACUGAGCUGGCAGAAAAAAACUUUUGGAGUCUCUAAAACUGCCCAAAGCACUUGGGAGAAAUGGGAGGGGACAUUUCAAUGACUGAGCUGAAGUCUGCCAGGAUGAUUCACACCUGCGCGGUCAGCGAGAAAGAUUGUCCAACACCAUGUAUGUGGGGUUGUCCAAAAACAGCAGCAGGGUUUCAGAGGAAGCACUGCUAAUAGACAGAAGAAAUAUUACAACACCCCCGUCUACCGCACCCCCCUUCAAAUCACCCAAGGUCUCUUCUGCUCCGAAGUGCCCAAUGCCACUGUCCUAUCACCCUGAAGAGCUCUGGGAGAUUAACAUUCGCCAUCAACAAAACGUCCCCAUCUUUCCUUCCACAAACGUUGCCACCUAAAUCUCAUCUCCCACGUGCCCCCUACGCUUCAGCCACGAGGAAUGUCUCACUCGUUCCUGAAUAUGCCACUCUUUCAAACUCCGCGUUGUCCCAGAUGCUGUUUCUUUUCCUGGAGUGCCCUUCCUUCCUUUCUCUGCACAGUAAACGCCCACUCGUGCUGUGAGAUCCAGGCGCAAAUGCCAGCUUUCCUCUGAAAACUCCCCAUUUCUGAGAAGAGCUGCUCUUCCCCGCUCAGAGAGCCUCUGGCCUUCUGUGGACAGCACUGUCAUUAUGAUUGUAAGAGGGGCCCCAGUUGAAGUCUCUGGCCCUACUUCUGCUGCCGAGAAACACAGGAAGUCAAAGAAAUGUGCAACCUAGAGUCCUAGUAUCUUCCUUUCCAAACCUUAUGUAGAUGCCUGUCCCAAGGGUUCCAUUUCUGGUAUCUGGAGUUUCUUCCUGAUCUGUGCGUCUGAGCCCCACCAGGUGUGAGCGAUAGAGGAGGUGGACGUGAAACUCGGGCUUGCUACCUCGCGUGUCCCCACACACGAGCCCAGAGACCCUGUUAGUGAAAAGCAUAACUGGUGAAGAGAACUUCAGGUCUGGGGCUGGAGGACAAUCUUUGUGAUGACAUUAUUUUCUGCCCUAGAACUCCAAGGAAUCCAGGAAUUCUAGACUUAAAUCUGGUGCUGAGAAUGAAUGAGAAUAUAAAACAUGUCACUGAUUAACUCCAAACCAAUCCGUGGUCCUGAACAUCGUAAUGUACUAAACUUACAAUAGCAUCUGAAAAUAAAAGCCAUGAUGCCUUCUGA